rnacentral:rRNA from 1 species
UACAGAGGGGGCAAGCGUUGUUCGGAAUUACUGGGCGUAAAGGGCGCGUAGGUGGCCAACUAAGUCAGACGUGAAAUCCCUCAGCUUAACUGGGGAACUGCGUCUGAUACUGGUUGGCUUGAGUGCAGGAGAGGAACGCGGAAUUCCAGGUGUAGCGGUGAAAUGCGUAGAGAUCGGGAGGAAGGCCGGUGGCGAAGGCGGCGCUCUGGAACAUUUCUGACGCUGAGGCUCGAAAGCGUGGGGAGCAAACAGG